rnacentral:rRNA from 1 species
CCGGUCAAGGACGAGCCCGCGGCGGAUUAGCUUGUUGGUGAGGUAACGGCUCACCAAGGCGACGAUCCGUAGCUGGUCUGAGAGGACGAUCAGCCACACUGGGACUGAGACACGGCCCAG